UGGUAAGGUCACCAGUGCCGGGCGGCACAA
rnacentral:sRNA from 1 species